rnacentral:lncRNA from 1 species
CUAUCAUCAUUUUGUAAGAGAGAUAGGAUCAUUUUUUGUAUGUUAUCAUAAACCAAUCUUCUGGUUAAAUGGAAAACAUAAAAGUAUCUGGAGUAGAUACAGGGAAAUACAUAAAUUUUUUCCCAGAUAGCACUCAGCAUACUUUCUUAGUAAUUUUUUAGUCAUGGAAUAUUAUUUUAUAUUGCCAGGCCUGCUGUCUUUAUUAGGCUCAAUUUUUGCAUAUAAAUUUUGGCAAAAAAGCAAACAAAACAAAACAAAAAACUAGCAGGAGAACUAGUGAAGAUGCAGGCAGGAGAGCAGCCACCCCAGAGUCAGGUCAUCUGCUGAACUCUGAAACCUUUAAAAUUUUCAGAGUGAAUACAGAAAUUGAACUAGGCAAUAAAGAUGGUGGUUUGCUAAUUAAGUUCUGUCUUAGCUGAUUCUGUGGAACUGAGGAAUAGGAUCUACCGUGAUUCUGCAACAAGGUAAGAAAGAAUAGGGAAGCACAUGUUCUUCCAACAUCUACACAGCUGUACUCCUACAUA